GACGAACGCUGGCGGCGUGCUUAACACAUGCAAGUCGAACGGUGAAGCGCCUUCCUUUUUGGUGGGUGUGGAUGAGUGGCGAACGGGUGAGUAACACGUGAGUAACCUGCCCCCUUCUUCUGGAUAACCGCAUGAAAGUGUGGCUAAUACGGGAUAUUCUGGGUCUGUCGCAUGAUGGGUCUGGGAAAGAUAUUGUUUCGGUGGGGGAUGGGCUCGCGGCCUAUCAGCUUGUUGGUGGGGUGAUGGCCUACCAAGGCGGUGACGGGUAGCCGGCCUGAGAGGGUGGACGGUCGCACUGGGACUGAGACACGGCCCAGACUCCUACGGGAGGCAGCUGUGGGGAAUAUUGCACAAUGGGCGCAAGCCUGAUGCAGCGACGCCGCGUGAGGGAUGGAGGCCUUCGGGUUGUGAACCUCUUUCGCCAGUGAAGCAGGCCUGCCUCGUUUGUGGGUGGGUUGACGGUAGCUGGAUAAGAAGCGCCGGCUAACUACGUG
rnacentral:rRNA from 1 species